CUUGGCUCACCAGGUGCGAGUCGACUCCCGCGCACAUCACACGUGGAGUAAGGGGCUCAUUCGGCGGCUCGACCUCGCGUGUUGUGAAGCGUCUGACGGUGUCUCUUGCACGUGCGUGUGUGCGCGUGUGGGUUCGGUGCUUUGUGAAGUUAUUCUGUAUCCCAUCGGUGAGAAAAACUGUGUGUGUAUAUCGUAUAGUGUAAAAAUAAUUAAGUGAUUAAGAUAUAUACUAAAUAUUCCACUUGAUAUAAAAGAAAGAUGUGACUAACCAUAUACCGGAGAACGUGAAGUGUCUACUUGCUCCAUAUAUAUAACUACACGAUGUAGCGAGUUGGAUCGGAUUUCAUCAAAACCCAACCAAAAAUGAUAAUAAUUGUUUUGGGUUCCUUUUCUCAUGUGUGGGAAGUGUGUCGUGUGUAAGCCCAUAAACGAAAACUAAUUGAAGAAAACAAACACCAAGAUGACGUGACAGACACAAGUCAUCUCUCCAUCACAGUCUAACCGCAGGAACUCUCCGGCCAAUCAAAUCUUCAGCUCUUCUGAUUAAGAGGGAAAAAAAAGAGGAAAAAAUAUGACAAGAUCUGAAUCUGUGACCUCGACAGUGUUAUUCUGAACGCUGUCUGUCCGUCCCCUCUCCUGCUCGCGUGUCUGUGUCUACGAAGCGUGUCUGGCGUGACGUCAUGGAGAGGCUUAUCAGGUCCCUGGCGAGAUGCCUCAAAUUCUCGUGGUAAGUCAAACAUCACUUUGUUCGUGUUUCACUCUUUAAUACUUUGUAUUUUUUCAUUUCGUUAUUGUGAUUUAUAUUCAUUUAGUUUCUAGAUAUGUAAAAGGUAGAAAGAAUGUAGUCAAAAUCCAUUAAAAAAAUACUCAUUCACACGUCCACAAAACAAACACAAAGUUAACCAUUAUUGCCUUUAAUUAAAACUGAUCGAAAUCACAGGAAAUCAAUCCCGUUCGGCCCACAGUACACACCUACACUAGCAGCAAGGUUUAUCCAGGGGCACCCCCCCACCCCCCUCCGCCCGCCCCAACACCCCACGCAUUCUCUUGUUCGCUUGCAAGAACUAGCAAGCAACCUCACCCUCUAGUCUUAAGGUCAGAAGGUGAUCAAUUGCUCCUGUCCUUGGAGUUGCCAUGAUGAUGUGAAGAUCAGAUUGUUCUUGUCUUUGCUACGGCUUGAGUAGGGUCUUUGUUAAAGUGGUUCGUUAAGAUGCAAUAGUCUUGAUAUGUUUCAUGUAUGUCAGGUUAAAAAAAAUGUUUUUUGGUAAUUAUCAUUGCAUUGAUGAUGAUAAAACUGUGACUAUCAUACCAGACUCUAAUGAUUAGGAAAGCCUUGAUUUGGAUAAGUCUGUGAUUAUCAUUCCUUGUUAUUGAUGUCAUUACUUCAAUUACUAAUUACUAAUUAAUCUAAUUUCCAAAAUUGGCAGUGGAAGAUGAAGCGAUAGACAUACAAUCAUAAUAAAAACAGAACUAUCAGGAACGCAA
rnacentral:lncRNA from 1 species